rnacentral:lncRNA from 1 species
GCUUCAAACACCUUAUCACAUCACAUCUGCAGUAAAGAACAGGGAGAAUUUGAUUUACACAUUUUUUUUGCUUGUUUUUUUGCUUACUUAUUUGUCAUAUACUCUAGGACUCCUUGCAUAGGGUAUGAUGCUGCCCACAGUAGGCUGGAUAUUUCUACACCAGUUCACUUAAGGCAAUUCUCUACAGACAUACAUACAGAUUACUAGAUAAUUCUAGGUUGUGUAAAUGUAACAAUUAAAUCUUGCCAUCACGAGUUACCCCUUGUCUUCCUGCUGGGCACAUCACUUAGAAGCCACAAGUCUCUACUAUUUUCUCCCAAAGUCAUUGUGCUAUUUUUUCACAAUAUAAAAUAUAUCCAACUUUAAAUAGCUCUCCCUGGGAACAAUCUGUGGUCUUAAUAUACUAAGAUGUUAGAUGAUAGACCAAUAUCCUAAAGUCUUUCCCUUUUUUUCUCACAUUUCUUAUUAGGUAUUUUCUUUAUUUACAUUUCAAAUGUUAUCCCCUUUCAUAGUUUCCCCUCCUAAAAUCCCCUAUCCCCUACCACCUCCCCCUGCUCCCCAACCUACCCACUCCCAUUCCUGGCCCUGGCGUUCCCCUAUACUGGGGCAUAGAACUUUCACAGGACCUAGGGCCUCUCCUCCCAUUGAUGACCAACUAGGCCAUCGUCUGCUAGAGCCACCAGUCUUACCAUGUGUUUUCUUUGAUUGGUGGUUUAGUCGCAAGGACCUCUGGGGGUACUGGUUAGUUCCUCAUAUGAGGCUGCAAACCCCUUCAGCUCCUUGGGUCCUUUCUCUAGUUCCUUCAUUUUGGACCCUGUGCUCCAUCCAAGGAAUGACUGUGAGCAUCCACUUUUGUGUUUACCAGGCACUGGCAGAGGCCCUCAGCAGACAGCAAUAUCAGGCAAGCUCUUGUUGGAAUCUGCCACAUUGUCUCACUGAUAAAUGAAUAUUAGCCGGAAGCUCAGAAUCCUUCUUAGAAGGGGGAACAAAAUACCCAUAAAAGGAGUUACAGAGACAAAGAUUGGAGCAGAGACUGAAGGAAUGACCAUCCAGAGACUGACCCACUUGGGGAUUCAUCCCAUAAACAACCACCAACUAAAGUCUUUCUUACAACAGAGGUUUCACUUCCACUACUCCAUGCGCUAGCAUCUCAGGGACUCUCUACAAGGAUUCCAUCCCUGUCUCAUGGUGCCAGGUCACAUGGUGCUCACCAUGGCCCCUUCAGCCUUGCAUCUUUCAUGUCUUCAAAACUAGUCCGACAUUGACAAAACUUACAUGGCUAAAUUCACCCACUCCUCUUGGGCCACAGCUGUAUCAACUUCUUUGUGCUGACCUUGAAGAAACAUUCCUGUUGUCCUAUAAAGCAUAGAAAAUUUCCAUUCAGUGGUCAUAAUCUCUUUUUGAAAAAAAAUGUAUACAAUAAUUUCUUUAUUUACACUUCAAAUUUUAUCCCCUUUCCUUGUUUCCCCUC